CACACACACACAAUAUGUGUAUACGUACAAAUACGGUGUGUGCAUUAUCACUGGAGACUAGUAGAAAAGGGAGGGGUUGUCUACCCGAAAAUAAAGUUGGUUCCUAAAUACACAUCGCUGGUGGUGGACCCUGCGUCAACAAGGAACCUUCUUUUUUUGAUUUUCUUGUGUGAUGUGUGUGUGCAACUUGAAGUCAAUAUUGAAAGAGACCACCAUUUUCCCAAAACUUCUUUUCGUUGGGUGUACGAGACCAAACGGUUGAUUCAACAUUCGUUUCGACCGCACGGAAAAGAAAAAACAAAACAAAAGAAGAGCUGCAAGGGGGAGAGAGAAGAAGAAAAAAACAGGUGGUCACGACACUGAGGCGCCAUCUUGGAUUCAAGUGCUUCAGCAGCAACAGGUUGGAAACCAUCUCGUGACCAACGAACGAACAAGACCACGUCCGCCGGCCUCUUGCUUGCUGGUCUAACAGCUUUUACUACCAACUCAUAUAAUCGAACUUGCUGGGUGCGAUCCUGGGUGAAAUGAUCCCCAGCAUUUUCUGUUGAGUGCCUCUAUAAACAUAUGAGUAUAAAAUAUGUCAUAAAGAAACAUCAAUCAUGACAUACUCGACUGAUUAUAGAAAGAUUUUAAAAAAGUUUUAUUGUUAUUGCCAAAUUGUCUUGUAUUCGUGUUUCAUGCAUGGUUUUUAUCAAAACUGUACAGCAGUUUUUCAGAUUGCAUUAUUAAAUGUUUAACAACUAUUUGACAGCAUAAUUUAUGAACAUCUAAUAAUUUUAGAAUCUAAAAUUUAAUUAUGGUGUCACUUGGCGGAGUAAAAUAUUUCAAGGGACGUUAUUGCCUAGUAGAACUGUGUAGUUUGCUCUACAUCGCUUCAUGGGACAUUUUUUCGUUCUGUUUGAGACGCUUUCUAUACAGCUUCUAAAUAGAAGUUCACGCAUACGUACAUUUAGCAAUUUCAACAACUUUCACGGUAAUGUAUUGAGACAACUAUUUCACAACGCGACUU